UGAAGAGUUUGAUCCUGGCUCAGAUUGAACGCUGGCGGCAUGCCUUACACAUGCAAGUCGAACGGCAGCACGGGUGCUUGCACCUGGUGGCGAGUGGCGAACGGGUGAGUAAUACAUCGGAACAUGUCCUGUAGUGGGGGAUAGCCCGGCGAAAGCCGGAUUAAUACCGCAUACGAUCUACGGAUGAAAGCGGGGGACCUUCGGGCCUCGCGCUAUAGGGUUGGCCGAUGGCUGAUUAGCUAGUUGGUGGGGUAAAGGCCUACCAAGGCGACGAUCAGUAGCUGGUCUGAGAGGACGACCAGCCACACUGGGACUGAGACACGGCCCAGACUCCUACGGGAGGCAGCAGUGGGGAAUUUUGGACAAUGGGCGAAAGCCUGAUCCAGCAAUGCCGCGUGUGUGAAGAAGGCCUUCGGGUUGUAAAGCACUUUUGUCCGGAAAGAAAUC
rnacentral:rRNA from 1 species